AGGAACUGGUAAAAAUGAAGUGGACUCAUCUAUGGAUUUCCAACCAAAGAGAUCCAGAUUUUUGGGAAGAUCUACAGACCAAAGUGUAGUGAGGGGCUUAGGUUCAGGUCUGCAUGCUGGAAGAUCAGAAAGCGCUGAUCCAGUUCCAGAACAAAAUUCAAGUGGGUACACGCCUCCAGAACUCCAGAA